UGGCGAAAUCUGUGAAUGAUUCUCGCACUGGUGCUUUCUCCAACGGGUCCUAAACUUUACACUUUGGAUAGAGUGGAGCUGCUGCCUCGUACGGAGACUGGAUAGAAAUCACCACAUUCAUGAGUGUUUGUUCAGGUUGAAUUCAUGGGAGUGGAGAAGCAAGCCAACUGCAACCACCUGAGAGCUGUGUCGUCUAGAAUGAGCCCUUGAGACACUCCCUCCUCCUCCUCCCUCAUAAUAUUCUCCCUUGCAGUGUUCAUCCAGCCGGACAGUCGAUGGUGUUCACCUUACACCCCCCAGAGGAGUACUGAGGCCGUCUUCCUCAUCCUCUUCAUCAGUCUUCUCAGGAAUGGUACCCCAACAAUUGAUUCCUACAGUCGCCUAGGUGGUCCACCUUCCCUGUGGCCGACAUGGUUGCUGUUUGGACAGUGGAGAGGACAUGGAUGUCUCGUUUGUCAUGCCACUUUACUGCCAUCUGUUGACAUUUCUUAUUUUGUAUAAUGGGUCAUUUAGGAUGGCAGUAGCAUUGUUGAUGAAAUGCAGUCAUAGCAGCAGAACAUGAAAGCGGUCUUGGGAAAAGAGGGUGGCAAAGAAGGGAGUUGCAAACAUAGGAUCUGUGCUCCAGUAUUCUCUUAUCCCCAUGAGAAGGACUGUCACCAGGAAGGUAUACAUUUCACUAAUUGUGGUUGUCACCCAUUUAGCGAGUUUACCCCCCACUCCUGGCUCUCUUCUCCUGUAGCUCUAAGGCAUAGCGAUUGGUCUCCUCUACUAAAUCUCCCACCAGCUCCUCUGUCAGAAACAACUUUAAGCACUCUGCCUCAGAUGGAAAUGGCAAGGGGCGUUGCACUCCAGACUGGGACUCAUCAAAGCAAACAGCAGGGCCAGGAGGGGUGAAAUGGCUGGCGGCCUUUCAGCUACCACAGAACUCCUGUACUUCAUCCACUGUCGGUCUGCCUCCAUCACCACCAGCAUCUUCAAAGGGACCUGGGACUUUGUCAGUGGACAAGGAAUCCUCAGAUUCAGGCUUCUCAAUGGCUACAAGGUUGGGGGGCAGCUCCUCACUGUCAGAAUCUGAUUCCUGACUUUCAUAAUCAGACUUAUUGUCAGAAUUAUUUUUCAAUCUCCAGAAUUUCCACAUUUGUGAGUUGUCUCCUUUUGAAAGACAUUGCUAAUGCUACAGCUUAGCUCACUAGCUACAUACAUAAACAACAACACUGAAUGGCUCAGAGUGGGAGUGAGAGGUUACGUGAUUGACUGCCGGCAUGCACCCCGAUUCUUGCAUAGAUUGUAAGAUUGUAAUGGGCACAUAUUAUGUGUAUAAAACAUUUUUUGAGCACUUCCAGAAAUGAAUGGUGGGAUGUGAACGAUAGGUAGACGACACCUCCCCCCCAACAUGCAUACUAUAAACAGACCAAACUCAUCUUGUCUCCUCUUAUCUUUGGUUUCUGUGAGGAGAAAAAAGCUUGGCAGCGCGCUGAAACUACCCAUCUUCGGAUUACUUUAGAUUUCUAGAGUGUUUUACUCAAUUAUUUCGAUCAAUGGUGAGCUUACCCGUGAUGUGACUAAUUAUAAAUAGUCAUUUCUAUUAGCUAAUUCAUAUUGUAGUUUGUCAGCGAGAGUAAUACAAAUAUGUCCGCUUGUGUUAAGUCACUCUUUCCUCAGUUAGCGCUAGGGCAAAUGUAGCCUACAUUUUUCCGAUUUCGAUGAUUGUGUUAUGCUGUAGACACUUCUGUGAAUGUCUGAACAUUGCAUCCAGUCAUAAACAGAACUGUGAUUCAAGCAUUGCUAAGAGUUGCUGGAAAACGCAGUAAAGUUUGAAUGAAUGCUUACGAGCCUGCUGCUGCCUACCACCGCUCAGUCAGACUGCUCUAUCAAAUAUCAAAUCAUAGACUUUAUUAUAAUAAACACACAGAAAUAUGAGCCUUUGGUCAUUAAUAUGGUCAAAUUUUGGGGCGCCAGGUAGCCUAGCGGUUAGAGCGUUGGACUAGUAACCAAAAGGUUGCAAGAUUGAAUCCCUGAGCUGACAAGGUAAAAGUCUGUCUUUCUGCCUCUGAAUAAGGCUGUCACGUUCUGACCUUAGUUCCUUUUUUAUGUCUUUAUUUUAGUUGGUCAGGGUGUGAGUUGGGGUGGGCAUUCUGUUGUUUUUUCUAUGUUUUGUCUGUUAUUAUAUUUCUAUGUAUUUGGCCUAGUAUGGUUCUCAAUCAGAGGCAGGUGUCAGUCGUUGUCUCUGAUUGGGAGCCAUAUUUAGGUAGCCUGUUUUCUAUUGUGUUUUGUGGGUGGUUGUAUCCUGUGUUAGUACCUUCACCAUACGGGACUGUUUCGGGUGUUUGUUUGUACUUUUGUAAUUUUGUUCAGUGUUCUGUUGAUUUAUUAAAUACACUGCUCAAAAAAAUAAGGGAACACUAAAAUAACACAUCCAAGAUCUGAAUGAAUGAAAUAUUCUUAUUAAAUAUUUUUUUCUUCACAUAGUUGAAUGUGCUGACAACAAAAUCACACAAAUUAUCAAUGGAAAUCAAAUGUAUCAACCCAUGGAGGUCUGGAUUUGGAGUCACACUCAAAAUGAAAGUGGAAAACCACACUACAAGCUGAUCCAACUUUGAUGUAAUGUCCUUAAAACAAGUCAAAAUGAGGCUCGGUAGUGUGUGUGGCCUCCACGUGCCUGUAUGACCUCCCUACAACGCCUGGGCAUGCUCCUGAUGAGGUGGCGGAUGGUCUCCUGAGGGAUCUCCUCCCAGACCUGGACUAAAGCAUCCGCCAACUCCUGGACAGUCUGUGGUGCAACGUGGUGUUGGUAGAUGGAGCGAGACAUGAUGUCCCAGAUGUGCUCAAUUUGAUUCAGGUCUGGGGAACGGGCGGGCCAGUCCAUAGCAUCAAUGUCUUCCUCUUGCAGGAACUGCUGACACACUCUAGCCACAUGAGGUCUAGCAUUGUCUUGCAUUAGGAGGAAGCCAGGGCCAACCGCACCAGCAUAUGGUCUCACAAGUGGUCUGAGGAUCUCAUCUCGGUACCUAAUGGCAGUCACGCUACCUCUGGCGAGCACAUGGAGUGCUGUGCGGCUCCCCAAAGAAAUGCCACCCCACACCAUGACUGACCUACCGCCAAACCGGUCAUGCUGGAGGAUGUUGCAGGCAGCAGAACGUUCUCCAUGGUGUCUCCAGACUCUGUCACGUCUGUCACAUGUGCUCAGUGUGAACCUGCUUAUAUCUGUGAAGAGCACAGGGCGCCAGUGGUGAAUUUGCCAAUCUUGGUGUUCUCUGGCCAAUGCCAAACGUCCUGCACGGUGUUGGGCUGUAAGCACAACCCCCACCUGUGGACGUCGGGCCCUCAUACCACCCUCACGGUGUCUGUUUCUGACCAUUUGAGCAGACACAUGCACAUUUGUGGCCUGCUGGAGGUCAUUUUGCAGGGCUCUGGCAGUGCUCCUCCUGGUCCUCCUUGCACAAAGGCGGAGGUAGCGGUCCUGCUGCUGGGUUGCUGCCCUCCUACGUCCUCCUCCACGUCUCCUGAUGUACUGGCCUGUCUCCUGGUAGCGCCUCGAUGCUCUGGACACUAUGCUGACAGACACAGCAAACCUUCUUGCCACAGCUCGCAUUGAUGUGCCAUCCUGGAUGAGCUGCACUACCUGAGCCACUUGUGUGGGUUGUAGACUCCGUCUCAUGCUACCACUAGAGUGAAAGCACCGCCGGCAUUCAAAAGUGACCAAAACAUCAGCCAGGAAGCAUAGGAACUGAGAAGUGGUCUGUGGUCACCACCUGCAGAACCACUCCUUUAUUGGGGGUGUCUAAUUGCCUAUAAUUUCCACCUGUUGUCUAUUCCAUUUGCACAACAGCAUGUGAAAUUUAUUGUCAAUCAGUGUUGCUUCCUAAGUGGACAGUUUGAUUUCACAGAAGUGUGAUUGACUUGGAGUUACUUUGUGUUGUUUAAGUGUUCCCUUUAUUUUUUUGAGCAGUGUAUAUCAUUAUGGACACUUACCACGCUGCACCAUGGUCUGAUUCUUGCUACUCCUCCUCUGAAGAAGAGGAAUUCCGUUACAAACGCAGUUAACCCACUGUUCCUAGGACGUCAUUGAAAAGCAGAAUUUGGUCUUAACUGAUC